rnacentral:misc_RNA from 1 species
GUUGGAGGCAGCAAGGACAACUUGGAUCACCUUCAGAGAGCUUCCUCCUCCAAGAUGAGGCAACAGCAGAAUUCCCAACCUCAGAAGAGAAGGGAUGCCCAAUAUGCUACUUCAGGUCUGUGGGAUCGGUUCCCCACUGCUAGGACAGUGGACCAGAUGAUGGAGACAAUGGACAGAAUAUUGGAGGACCCUUAUGUGUACAGAAGUGCAUCCGUACCUUCACUCAGAGGUGAUGAGAACAUAGGCAGC